UUACACACAGAUAUUCCAACUGCAAUUAUAAGUUUUUUUUUUUUGGGUCUGAAACUGCAAUUAUAAGUUGGGGUUGAAGCCUACUGUGGGUUGGUCUCAACAGAUGCUGCAGCAACAGUUGAGACCAUGGAGUCUACACCGCAGAUAUUACGGCCCUUGCAGAUUUUGUAAAAUCCCUUCUCUCCCCAGUUCUCUCCCCAUGAGUUCUUUAUGAUCCAGUAUGGCUUCUCUUUCAUUCUGAUGGGAGAAUAGCCAGCUGCACCAUAACCCACGAGCAGCACCCCAUGAUCCAAUCUCUUUGAGCAAAUGUAGGGGCAUGACACUCCACCAACAUAUGUUUGCAUGAACACUGCGUUGAUAGCCACUGCAUUCGAACAAUGUACUAGUUAAUAACAGGCAUUCACCACUACAGGAACUCAUAUCAGUAUUCUAUAAUGCUCUUAAAUCAUAAAGAGAAGAUGAGCAGAAAAAAUAAAAUAUCUUUACAAUAGAACAAGGCAAAGAACAGAAAUCACAAAAUUAAAUGCAAGUUACCUGCAAGAGGGCCAUUUUUCACAAGGUUUGCAGCAAUUUGUUCUUCAUCAAGGGAGACAACACUGAAAUUGGCAACCUUUGCUGCAAUUUUGCUUUUGUCAAAUUUGCAGCUUCCGCGAUCAGUACCAGUGUAUGGAUAUUCUUCUUCCUUCAUUAGUCCACCAGCUUUG
rnacentral:lncRNA from 1 species